CCAUGUCCAGGAAUGGAGUAACCGCGUUAAACAUUUGGUGAAAGUUAGCUUGCCUGCUAAUGCUAAGCUUAAGCUUCUUAUAUUAUCUCCGUUUCAUCUAUCUAGUUUAUAUUAUAGUGUAACUAUACUCUGAUUAACUUUAUCUCUGCCUUUCUUCACUGAAGAAGGAGGUUUAAUUUUCGCAUUGGUAUUUUCCUUUUAAUUGUGGAUUUGUAGCUGGUUACAGCAAGUAUGGCUUCUUCUUCCCUUUCUUUUGAAGAAAAGUACGAUGUGUUUCUCAGUUUCAGAGGUGAGGACACACGCAAUACAUUCGCUAGCUAUCUUUAUGCGGCUUUAUCAGCAAAGCAGAUCUUAACUUUCAUGGAUCACGAGCUUGAGAGAGGGGAUGAAAUUUCACCCACACUUACCAAAGCCAUCGAAGACUCCAAGAUUUCCGUGAUCAUUUUCUCGGAAAACUAUGCUUCGUCCACUUGGUGUUUGGAUGAACUCGUGCACAUACUUGAAUGCAAGAAAACAAGAGGGCAGGUCGUUAUUCCAAUCUUUUACCGCAUAGAUCCAUCAGUUGUACGAAAGCAGAAAGGGAGUUAUGGAGUUUCGUUUGCUGAACUUGAAGAACGUUUCAAAGACAGAUUGGAGAAGGUGCAUCUGUGGAGGGCUGCUUUGACAGAAGCGUCUAAUCUUUGUGGAUUGGAUUCGAAGGAUUUCAGGCCUGAAAACAAGCUAGUUCAAAAAAUCAUUGAAGACAUUUCAUUAAAACUGCCUAAAUGUCUAUCAUUUAAUGAGCAUUUCAAGAGACACCUCAUUGGAAUUGAAAAACAUAUCAAAGAAAUUGAAUCACGACUAUCCAUUGGUACAAAAGAAGUUCGCAUUAUAGGCAUAUGGGGCAUGGGAGGUAUUGGUAAGACCACCCUUGCCAGUGUUGUAUUUCAAAGAUUAUCAUAUAUUCAUUUUGAAGGCUACUACUUUCUUUGGAAUGUUAGGGAAGAAUAUUCAAGGCUUGGAGCAAAUCAUUUGAGAAAGAAAUUUUUUUCUGAGUUAUUAAGUGAUAAAUCUAUUCUAAGGAUGGACACCCCAUUUGUAGCAUCACCUUUUAUUCAUGACAAACUCCAUCGUAAAAAGGUGCUCAUUGUUCUAGAUGAUGUGGAUAGUUCAAUCCAGUUAGAAGCUUUAAUAGCAGGGUAUGAUCACUUUGCACUUGGAAGCAGAAUCAUUGUUACAACAAGAAACGUGCAGGUGCUUAAAAAAGUAGCUGAUGAUAUUUACAAGCUUGAAGGGUUAAAUGAGAUUGAAUCUUUAGAACUGUUCAAUAUGCAUGCCUUUGGGAAAAGUUCUCCUCCAAAAGAUUAUGAAAUGUUGUCAAACAAUUUGACAAGCUAUGCUGAUGGAAAUCCAUUAGCUCUUAAAGUCUUGGGUUCUUUCCUUCACUCAAAAAGGAUAGAUGAAUGGGAAAGUGCAUUAAACAAAUUGAAAACAAUUCCCAACAAGGACAUUCUAGAUGUGCUGAGAAUCAGUUAUGAGGGACUAGACAAAGGGGACCAAAAUCUAUUUCUUGACAUUGCAUGUCUGAUUAAUCAGUCUUUUACCAGGGAAGAUGCAGAAAACAUGUUAGAUGCGGGCGACUCCUUUGUGAAAAUAGGAUUAACUGUUCUUAUUGAAAAGUCUUUAAUUGAAAGUCGUAAAGACAAUGAGCUAGGGAUGCAUGAUUUAUUGCGGCAAGUGGGUCGAACGAUUGUUUGUGAUGAACACAAAGAACCAGGUAAACGUAGUCGAUUGUGGGAUGUUAAAGAUGUUUGCCAUGUCUUGGAAAGAAAUACGGGUACUGCAGCAGUUGAAGGCAUCUCAUUCAACAUGUCUAAAAUUGGUAAAGACAUAAAAAUGUGCCAAGCAGCCUUCUCAGAGAUGUAUAAUCUACGAAUUCUCAAAAUUUUUUGUGACAAUAUUCAUAACAACAAGUUCAAACUGUACCUUCCGCAAGGUCUUGGUUCUUAUCUUUCUGAUAAGCUAACAUAUCUUCAGUGGGAUUUAUACCCCUUAAAAUCUUUGCCGUCAAAGUUUUCUCCCGAAAAUCUUGUUGAACUGAUACUACGUGGCAGCCAUAUACAAAAACUUUGGAAUCAUUAUGAAGUUAAGUCUCUUCCACUAUUAAGGAGGAUCGAUCUUAGUUAUUCCAAGUUCCUUACUCAACUACCAGAUCUGUCACACUCUCCAAAUCUGGAAAGUAUAAAUCUUGAAGGUUGUAAAAGUUUGGUUCAUGUUCUUCCAUCUCUUCAAAAUCUUGACAGGCUUACCUAUCUAAACUUGAGUGGUUGCUUCAAACUCAGAGAUUUUCAAGAGAUAUCAGAGAGAACAGAGUGGUACUUAGAUGUUGCAAGGUACUUGAAUAAUUUCACAUUCCUUAAAAGUUACAUCCAAAGUUUUACUGGCAAUUCAUGUCUCUACUCAUCUCAGGCUCACAUUUCUCAAAAGUUUGCACCCAAUUUAAGAUGUUUACUUUUGCGUGAGACAGCUAUAGAAGCAGUGCCCCCAUCAAUUUGCCGUCUGUCAGGUCUUGUGCAAUUAGAUUUGAGUUAUUGCACAAGACUUAAAAGUCUUCCAACAAGCAUUUGUCAUUUGAAAUCUCUUGAAUCACUGAAUAUGUCUGGCUGUGAGAAACUGAAAAUGUUUCCAGAAAUCUUGGAGCCUAUGGAACACUUGACAUUACUUAAGUUAGAUGAGUCGGGGAUUAAAGAGUUGCCGGAGUCGAUUGAAAAUCUAGUAUCCCUCACAGACUUAUGUCUAUCUCAUUGCGGGGAACUUGAGUGUCUCCCCAACAAUCUAUGUAAUUUAAGGAACCUUCAGAGAAUAUACCUCAACUCUUGCUCAAAAUUUCAAAAAUUGCCUUCCCUUCCACCGUCUUUGCUCGUCUUGUGGGUGCAGUAUUGUGAGAGAUUGAAAUCUUUACCAGAGCUUCCAUCGCUAUUUUUGAGUUUGUUUGCAGCAGGCUCCGCGUCGCUGGAGAACAUUCCAACUUGGAGGGCUCCACUACCACGCGAUAUCAUUGAAAGUAGGGACUGUGGCACUGACUUUUGUGGACGAGAAAAAUUGGAUCAGAAUACACGCAACGCCAUGCUCGCUGAUCAUGAAGACAUUCAAAUUCUGUCUCGUCUAAAAUUUGGAACAACUGGCACAAAUGACGAUGUUCAUGUUUUUGGCUAUCCAGGAGAUGAAAUUCCAAAGUGGUUCAGCUAUCAAACUUGUGGGACUUCAAUCAAUAAUAUUAUGCUUCCUCCAUACUGGAAUGAUGAGGAAUUCUUGGGUUUGGUUUUCUGCAUUGUUCUUGCUCGGAAUACAGUUGUCGAUAAUAUAUCUGUUGCUGCUUCUUGUAAACUGAAUUUCAAAACCAUCGACGAUGAGCAUAUUUACGAAUGUUAUAAUUCUUCUCAGAGCUUUGAGGAAAACAAGGAUAGUUCAGAUCAUGUGGUCAUAUGGUCUUCGCCAUUUUCAAAAUGGAAUAUUGAAUUUAACAAAGGAACAGAUGGACUAAAUUGGCCCACUACUUGUAGCACUGAGGCCUCUUUCCAUGUCUGUCUGGUUUAUUAUGAGCAUAGCGAACACUGGAGUUGGAGAGAGGUCAACAACUUAGGAAGUAAGUAUGGUGAGAUUAAGAAGUUUGGGGUUCGGUUUGUAUACAAACAAGACGUAGAAAGAUGUGAUGCAGAAACUGAAGGAAAGAAUAAGAGACGCUUCAGUGAAUGGUGCGAAUCAAGUGGAAGUGAAGCUGUUGGCUCUCAUGAAGAAGAAGAAGAUGAUGAAUCACAUUCUAAGAAACUCAAGGUUAUGUGACUGUUUAGAAGAUGCAAAGCAGUUGGAUAUUGAGGAACCCAAAAAACAAAAUAAAAAAAUAAAAUAAAAAUGACAGAACAAGCCGUGCUACAACUUUGAGACAUGCUUAGCUGCUAAUUAUGAAAUCAUUGUUGGCUCUGAUGGAUAAGGAAUAAGAAAAUCAAAGCAUAUUCUGUAUCUGUUAAGUUUCAGGCUUUGAAGAAUUUGUGUGAGCUAUGCAGACACAACCGCGCGUAGCUUCAAAUGAAUGGUGUGGUACCUCGAAGAAGUUCUCUUUUCCUCUUGACUUUCUUCUUAUUUUGGCAUUGGAUUACCUGUUUUUUUUUUUUUUUUUAAUAUCAAUAUAAAUUUCUUUAAUAACGUCUAUGAGCCAUUUUACAUAUAUUUUUGCUUAUAAAGUUAAAUAAAAUAAAGAAUGUUUUACCUAGGAAUUAUGACUUUAAUUUUUGAUGAUGCAUUUUAUGGUUAAAUACACCUUUACAUCUAGCUGAACAUUCUUAAUUGUCUGAGUAUAAUAUUUGUCUAUUUUAUUAAAUUUCCUAAUUUGUUAUUAUUCUCUGCCAAAGUGUUUGAUAAAAUGUGUUUAUGCAUGGUUGGUCAUUUGUGUGGUCUUUUUGAAUUGUACUUUGCCACAAUGGAUACUCUUUCCAUCACUAGUUAAAUAGUAGAUUCUGUGUCAGCAUAUAGAUUUGGUUUUAAAGUGGAUAAUGACAAUUUGCCUAAAUAUAUCGUUUUUUUAUGAUCAAUUGCAUCUAGUAUGCAUGCAUUUGAAAUAUUUAUUUGACUACUUCCAAGAAGUUAAGCACAAGUAUGAUGUCAGUAUGAAUUCCUCUCUUCCUCAAUCUUUCAAUAUUUUUCUGGUCGAGGCAUUUGAAUACCCUCUUUAUGUGAUAUUAGUAUGAAUUCUUUACUAUGCUUCUAAACUGCUUAUGUUGUAUUUUACGAAUAUAUACUUAUAGGCUUGAACACUCUUUAUCUUUCUGAAUAUAAUUUUAUAUAUGUGUAUUUGAAAGGCUAUCUGCAAUUGGUAUAUGGUAUAUAUAGUGGUGAUGAAUAAGACAAUGAUGGAUCCCAUUCUAAGAAACUCAUGGUCAAUUAUAUGACUGUUUAGAGGGUGCAUAGCAAUUGGAUGGUUUAGAAGAGGCAGAGCAAAUGGAAGUUUAGGGGGGCUAAGAGACAGGCCUUGAUGAUGAUUAUGAAACCAGUUAAUUUGCUCUCAUUGUAUGAGGAAGAAGAAAAUCCUAAAACUAAUCCAAAGAAAAUCAAGCUUAUUUCGUGACUGCUUGGGUAAAUCAAUUUAAACCGGAUAGUUUUCUUUGCAUAUUCAUUUAUACAAGUAAAAACACUCUAUUUACAGCAUACACUUACAAUAUUAGUAAAAACACUCUAUUUAUAGCAUACAUUUAUAAUAUUAUAUUAAUUUAUAAACAAAAUUUAAUAAUUAUAAGGUAAUUUCUAAAGGAAAAGUUCGUUUUCUUUUGUUUAAUGAUACACGUACUGAGGGGGCCAAAAAAAAAAAAAAAAAAACUUGUUUAUUAUGAAAAAUAUUUUGGUUGAACGUACACGCAUAUAUUGGUGAAUUUUGUCUACAAUUUGGCAUGUCUUUUCUAGUUUCAGGCUAUGAAGAAACUAUGCGUGAGGCUGUGAGCUAUGCAGACACCACAACACUUAGCUUCGAAUGAAUGGUGUGGUACCUACCAAAAGUUAUCUCUUCCUCUUGUCUUUUUCUUUUUCUGAUCUUGGCAUAAGAUUACCCUGUUUGAGUGCUUGUUGGAUAUCAAUAAUUAAUGAAUUUCCUUAACUACUAUGAGCCAUUUUACAUAUAUUUGCACAGAAAAUUAAAUAAAAUGUAGAAAAUAUUAGCUAUGGAUAUGAUUCUGAGUUGUUUAUUGUCCAUUUUAUGGGUAAAUACAUCUGAGUUUAACAUUCUUAAAAUUUCAGAGUAUGACAUAUGGAUCUGUUUGAAACUGUUUUCUCUUUCUUCUACCUAAUUUGUUCCUUCAAUCAAUCAUUAUCUCAAUGGGAUCUUAUCAAAUAUCUUUCGACUUGAGCGUUACCAUUAAGAUGAUACUAGGACACCAUUACAACAUGCAGCUAUACACUUGGGAUCCUUAUGUUUUUCUUGCAAGAAUAUGGUGUGGAGCUCUACAUGUAUUGACUCAUUUCACUUAGACUGAUUUUGUUAAUGAUUGUGAAUUUAUGAUUUUUUUUUUUUUUUUGGGGGGGGAUGAAUUUGUGAUAUUUACUCAACUUGGAUUGUACUUUUCUUUUUCUUUUUUUUCCUUUUUGUGGGAAAUAGAUUGUAAUAUUGAGUAAGCAAGUUUUAUGGGUUCAUAGUCCAGUAGUUUUGGUCACUAGUCAAAUUAAAAAGUAGUGCAAGUAUUCUGCUCGAUAAUACUGGCAGUUGUGCUGUGCUUAAUACUAUCCAUGAAGAAGUUAAAAGCUGCAGUACUCGCUCCAAUUUUUUUUU